AUUGAACGCUGGCGGCAGGCCUAACACAUGCAAGUCGAGCGGAUGAAGGGAGCUUGCUCCUGGAUUCAGCGGCGGACGGGUGAGUAAUGCCUAGGAAUCUGCCUGGUAGUGGGGGAUAACGUCCGGAAACGGGCGCUAAUACCGCAUACGUCCUGAGGGAGAAAGUGGGGGAUCUUCGGACCUCACGCUAUCAGAUGAGCCUAGGUCGGAUUAGCUAGUUGGUGGGGUAAAGGCCUACCAAGGCGACGAUCCGUAACUGGUCUGAGAGGAUGAUCAGUCACACGGAAUGAGACACGGGGCACAGCCCCAUGGGGGGGACAGCAGGGGGAAAUAGUGGACAGGGGGCAAACGCCUGACCCCCCCGCGCCGCGUGUGAAAAAAGGUUUUUGGGUUUGAAAAGCUUUUAAUUUGGGGGGAAGGGAAAAAAUUUUAAUCCUUUGCUUUUGUCACUUCCACCACAAAAAGCACCCCGGCAAUCUUC
rnacentral:rRNA from 1 species